rnacentral:lncRNA from 10 species
GAAUUACUCUUGGAGUAGCAAUUGCUGGAUGUGCCUCUUUUGUUGAGGUGAUUGGAUCUUUUGGCAAAAACCAGUGACUGCAAAGGAUGAGAGAAACGAUCAGAAAAACUGAAAAGCUGUAGGAGACCAAACACUAGUGUCUCCCCUGCUUCAGGGGACACCCACUGUCAGAGUGAACGACAAAGACGCGCGUGGAUGAUUUGAAGAUAUUAGCCUAACAAGAUGGAAGCAGGUUUAAAAUUUUACAUAAGAAGUUACCUUUUUCAGAUACAGUUAAGCUAAUGAUCUCGAGAGGAUAUCGUCCUGGAUAAGGGUGGAGCCUACGCCCAAAAACAAGAUUACCUGAAAGAGAAAAGAAAGGGGGAAAACACACAGAGAUACAGUCGGGGAGGCCACAUGAAGAUGGAGGCAGAGACAGGAGUGAUGAGCCUGCAAGCCAAGGAAUGCCAAGGGCUGCCAGCAGCCAUGAGAAGCUGAGAGACACAGAGAACGAGUCCUCUGCCAGAGCCUCCAGAAGGAACUAACCCUGUCAAUACCUUGAUUUCGGACUUCUGGACUCCAGAACUAUAACCCUCCUUCCUCCACCUCACAAAAACUCACAAGCUGCAACCCUUCUGAUGUCCACUCCCACACAAACCAGCUUCAGGCCUUUUUCAAGUGGAUGCUGUGGGGCACCACCUCCUUGAGGACCAAGGCACUCCAGCUGCCAGGAAUUUGGCUGCUAACCUCACACAGCUGAGCCUUCCAUGAAAAUUGCUCUCUGCCAAAGAGAACUUCCUAGUCCAAGGUCAUGUCUACUCUCCAGAGAUGUGACUGGAGUGAUUUGCACCCGGAUGCCUAGACUCGCCAUCUGCUCAAAGACUGCUCAGAAAGCCCUCCCAUGCAUUCCCCUGCUGCAUACCAGCCCACUCUGCCUGCAGCUGCUGUCUGCAGGACUUCAUAUCUAUGCCACACUGUGUAAAAGCUGUGCUUCAAGAAAUCACAAAAACAUUUUCCUGCACCUACUACACAGCCUGAGUGCGGCAUAAGUUGACCUUGCUUGCUAAGAAAUGGGGCAAGAAAUGCUUUUUUGUGUGUGUCAUGUCUGUUUGUUUUUCAAUUAAGAGAGGAAAGCAUUAGGCAGAUGGAAUGUACAUGUGAGGAUGAGGAGACAGAAAACAAGUAGCCCUUUCCAUCAAGAUAGAGGGUUUUCUGGGGUUGCUGGCUAUUGAAUGUCACUCCUGAUUUCUCUUUCCAAGGCACUGUACCACCAGCCUACUGAGAUUGUGUGGGAGCUUUCAUGGGGGUUGUAUUUCACUGAUGAAAAUAAAUUUUUUGCAUAAUGUGAAUGUUUAUGUUUCUUUAUAGAAUAGACUUAGUUUAGCAAUAAGCUAAUAAUACUGACGUAACUCUAAUUCUCUGGGGAAAAAAUUUGCUCCCCCACCUUCCAUUCCUGCAACAUCAUCAAAG